UGCUAGUCGCCGGGCAGCGUUGAAGCCAUU
rnacentral:piRNA from 1 species